CCCAGUAACGGCGAGUGAAGCGGCAACAGCUCAAAUUUGAAAUCUGGCCCCCAGGGCCCGAGUUGUAAUUUGCAGAGGAUGCUUUUGGCGCGGCGCCUUCCGAGUUCCCUGGAACGGGACGCCAUAGAGGGUGAGAGCCCCGUCUGGUCGGACGCCAAGCCAGUGUAAAGCUCCUUCGACGAGUCGAGUAGUUUGGGAAUGCUGCUCUAAAUGGGAGGUAUAUGUCUUCUAAAGCUAAAUACCGGCCAGAGACCGAUAGCGCACAAGUAGAGUGAUCGAAAGAUGAAAAGCACUUUGAAAAGAGGGUUAAACAGUACGUGAAAUUGUUGAAAGGGAAGCGCUUGUGACCAGACUUGGGCCCGGUGAAUCAUCCAGCGUUCUCGCUGGUGCACUUCGCCGGGCUCAGGCCAGCAUCAGUUCGCCGCGGGGGACAAAGGCGUCGGGAACGUGGCUCCCUCGGGAGUGUUAUAGCCCGUCGCGCAAUACCCUGCGGUGGACUGAGGUUCGCGCUCCGCAAGGAUGCUGGCGUAAUGGUCAUCAGCGACCCGUCUUGAAACACGGACCAAGGAGUCGUCUUCGUAUGCGAGUGUUCGGGUGUCAAACCCCUACGCGUAAUGAAAGUGAACGCAGGUGAGAGCUUCGGCGCAUCAUCGACCGAUCCUGAUGUUCUCGGAUGGAUUUGAGUAAGAGCAUACGGGGCCGGACCCGAAAGAAGGUGAACUAUGCCUGUAUAGGGUGAAGCCAGAGGAAACUCUGGUGGAGGCUCGCAGCGGUUCUGACGUGCAAAUCGAUCGUC
rnacentral:rRNA from 1 species